CAUCAGUUAGCCAAAAAGAAUGGCAAGUAAAUCGUAAAAACUCAAACUCUUCGUGGUGA
rnacentral:tRNA from 1 species